AGUACGGACGGGAUAAGCGCUGAAAGCAUCUAAGCGUGAAGCCCCCCUCAAGAUGAGAUUUCCCAAUUAGUAAGACCCCUUGAAGACGACGAGGUUGAUAGGUUCGGGGUGGAAGCACGGCAACGUGUGGAGCUGACGAAUACUAAUCGGUCGAGGGCUUAUCCUA
rnacentral:rRNA from 1 species